CCUACGGGUGGCAGCAGUGGGGGAUAUUGCACCAUGGGGGAAACCCUGAUGCAGCGACGCCGCGUGUGGGAAGACGGUCCUCUGGAUUGUAAACCACUGUCCCCAGGUGCGAAGAUGACGGUACCUGGGGAGGAAGCUCCGGCUAACUACGUGCCAGCAGCCGAGGUAAUACGUAGUGAGCGCGCGUUGUCCGGAAUUACUGGGUGAAAAGGGAGCGUAGGCGGGGAUGCAAGUUGGGUGUCAAAACUACCGGCUCAACUGGUAGUCGCACUCAAAACUGCAGCUCGUGAGUGAAGUAGAGGCAGGCGGAAUUCCUAGUGUAGCGGUGAAAUGCGUAGAUAUUAGGAGGAACACCAGUGGCGAAGGCGGCCUGCUGGGCUUUUACUGACGCUGAGGCUCGAAAGUGUGGGGAGCAAACAGGAUUAGAUACCCUUGUAGUC
rnacentral:rRNA from 1 species